GAUGAACGCUGGCGGCGUGCUUAACACAUGCAAGUCGAACGGUGAAGGCGGAGCUUGCUCUGCUGGAUCAGUGGCGAACGGGUGAGUAACACGUGAGCAAUCUGCCCCUGACUCUGGGAUAAGCGCUGGAAACGGCGUCUAAUACUGGAUACGAGCUGCGAAGGCAUCUUCAGCAGCUGGAAAGAAUUUCGGUCAGGGAUGAGCUCGCGGCCUAUCAGCUUGUUGGUGAGGUAAUGGCUUACCAAGGCGUCGACGGGUAGCCGGCCUGAGAGGGUGACCGGCCACACUGGGACUGAGACACGGCCCAGACUCCUACGGGAGGCAGCAGUGGGGAAUAUUGCACAAUGGGCGAAAGCCUGAUGCAGCAACGCCGCGUGAGGGACGACGGCCUUCGGGUUGUAAACCUCUUUUAGCAGGGAAGAAGCGAAAGUGACGGUACCUGCAGAAAAAGCGCCGGCUAACUACGUG
rnacentral:rRNA from 1 species